rnacentral:rRNA from 1 species
AAUAGAUACCCGGGUAGUCCACGCCGUAAACGAUGAGUGCUAAGUGUUAGAGGGUUUCCGCCCUUUAGUGCUGAAGUUAACGCAUUAAAGCACUCCGCCUGGGGAGUACGGCCGCAAGGCUGAAACUCAAAGGAAUUGACGGGGGCCCGCACAAGCGGUGGAGCAUGUGGUUUAAUUCGAAGCAACGCGAAGAACCUUACCAGGUCUUGACAUCCUCUGACAACCCCUAGAGAUAGGGCUUCUCCGUUCGGGAGCAGAGUGACAGGUGGUGCAUGGUUGUCGUCAGCUCGUGUCGUGAGAUGUUGGGUUAAGUCCCGCAACGAGCGCAACCCUUGAUCUUAGUUGCCAUCAUUUAGUUGGGCACUCUAAGGUGACUGCCGGUGACAACCGGAGGAAGGUGGGGAUGACGUCAAAUCAUCAUGCCCCUUAUGACCUGGGCUACACACGUGCUACAAUGGACGGUACAAAGAGCUGCAAGACCGCGAGGUGGAGCUAAAUCUCAUAAAAACCCGUUCUCAGUUCGGAUUGUAGGCUGCUAACCG